ACGGAAGGCAGCAGUGGGGAAUAUUGCACAAUGGGGGAAACCCUGAUGCAGCGACGCCGCGUGAGUGAAGAAGUAUUUCGGUAUGUAAAGCUCUAUCAGCAGGGAAGAAAAUGACGGUACCUGACUAAGAAGCCCCGGCUAACUACGUGCCAGCAGCCGCGGUAAUACGUAGGGGGCAAGCGUUAUCCGGAUUUACUGGGUGUAAAGGGAGCGUAGACGGCAUGGCAAGUCUGAUGUGAAAGGUGGGGGCUCAACCCCCAAACUGCAUUGGAAACUGCCAGGCUCGAGUGCCGGAGAGGUAAGCGGAAUUCCUAGUGUAGCGGUGAAAUGCGUAGAUAUUAGGAGGAACACCAGUGGCGAAGGCGGCUUACUGGACUGUAACUGACGUUGAGGCUCGAAAGCGUGGGGAGCAAACAGGAUUAGAUACCCUGGUA
rnacentral:rRNA from 1 species